GCUCGAUUCCAAUCAAAUUAGCUAGCAAUUCGCCAUAAAGGAACAAACCCGAAGUUGUCAUGAAAUCAAAAGCCACUAUUAAUUGGCUCGAUUCCAAUCGAAUUAGGCUUGCAAUUCGCCAAAAUCGAACAAACACUAAGUUAUAAUGAAAUCAAAAGCAAAUUUUCAUUGGCAUGAUUCCAAUCGAAUUAGACUAGCAAUUCGCUAAAAAUGAACAAACCCG
rnacentral:lncRNA from 1 species